AGCAGCCGCGGUAAUUCCAGCUCCAAUAGCGUAUAUUAAAGUUGCUGCAGUUAAAAAGCUCGUAGUUGAAUUUCGGGAUCAAUAUGUUGGUCGUGCCUCGGUACGUACUAGCUUAUUGGUUUCUCCCUUCUGACGAACCAUGAUGUCAUUUAUUUGGUGUUAUGGGAAAUCAGGACUGUUACUUUGAAAAAAUUAGAGUGUUUAAAGCAGGCUCACGCUUGAAUACAUUAGCAUGGAAUAAUGAAAUAGGACGUUUGAUUCUAUUUUGUUGGUUUCUAGGAUCGACGUAAUGAUUAAUAGGGAUAGUUGGGGGCAUUAGUAUUCAAUUGUCAGAGGUGAAAUUCUUGGAUUUAUUGAAGACUAACUACUGCGAAAGCAUUUGCCAAGGAUGUUUUCAUUAAUCAAGAACGAAAGUUAGGGGAUCGAAGACGAUCAGAUACCGUCGUAGUCUUAACCAUAAACUAUGCCGACUAGGGAUC
rnacentral:rRNA from 1 species